rnacentral:rRNA from 1 species
UAAGGAAUAUUGGACAAUGGUCGCAAGACUGAUCCAGCCAUGCCGCGUGCAGGAAGACGGCCCUAUGGGUUGUAAACUGCUUUUGUACCAGAGAAAACCUAUCUACGUGUAGAUAGCUGAUAGUAUGGUAAGAAUAAGCAUCGGCUAACUUCGUGCCAGCAGCCGCGGUAAGACGAAGGAUGCAAGCGUUAUCCGGAUUCAUUGGGUUUAAAGGGUGCGUAGGCGGGCUUGUAAGUCAGUGGUGAAAUCUCUCAGCUUAACUGAGAAACUGCCAUUGAUACUGCAGGCCUAGAGUAUAGAUGACGUUGGCGGAAUAUGACAUGUAGUGGUGAAAUACUUAGAUAUGUCAUAGAACACCGAUUGCGAAGGCAGCUAACGAAACUAUAACUGACGCUGAGGCUCGAAAGUGCGGGGAUCAAACA